CCGUAUUACGUAAAGAAUCAUAGAGGAUAUGGAAAGAAUUUGCAAGUACUAUCCCAGAACUGAAGACCAUAGACCAUUCGGCCCAUACAGACUGCUCUGCCACUGGAUCAAAAUUCAAGAGGGAAUUUAUGGGAAAUUUCCAGCCAGAAAGUGGGAAGAAGGUGAAACCCAUUCUAAGAGACAGUGGAUUAAAUAAAGACUUGGAUCUAAUUAGAACUUUACAGACGUUUUCGAAUCAAAAUGUUCAGAGAUGUUAUUAUACAUCUGUGGAGCAGGUGCGACUUGAAACUGGACCUCCUAGCUCAGAGCUAAAGUGCUUAGAAGUCGUAAUCGGCAGAGAUAUGACUCAGACUGAGCUUAAUGACCAGAAACUUCUCCAGGAAGGCUGAGUUUUGGCCCGCAUUUAUUCCUCGAAGCUGUUGGGAAUGGGCUGACGGCGGUAACUCCUUCUGAAACUGACCAGCACCACCUCCCCACCCCCAAAAGUGAAAUCCAUCAGUUGAGGAUCCCUGCUAGUUCAGUUGAAAGACUGAUUCAAAGAAGUUUGAGAUAUCACUGGAAUGUCAAAUUAUAUUUCAUUGUCUCCAGGGAUGCCCACCUGAGACCUAACUUACAUCUGUCAACUCUGCUAACCAGUGAAUUACUGCUUGGUAGUUGUUUUCUGCUCAACCGUAACAUUUUUAACAUUUUUACAUCAAGACUUCCCCUUGGCAGCUGUGCUUGAAAUCUCAAAAUGACUCUGAAAUAACAACGCCCUCAGAAGAUGUAUUUUUCUUUAUGCCAUUUUAUAUUUUAUGCAUUUUAUUGGUUCCUGGUCAAACGGAGUUAGCAGAAUUCUCUUUGAAAAUGAGGACGCGGAAUGUGUGACUCUCUCUGCUACCAAGACAAUCAGAUUUUUGGUCAAAGAAUAUUUCAUAGCCAAUACAAUAAUAGGAAGUUCACUGUCACAGGAUCAAAAAUCCUGGAUUCCUCCCAAACUGCAUUGUGGAUGUACCUACACCAUGUGUGACUUCAGCAGUUGAAGACUCAGCACCAUCUUCCCAAGAGCAACUAGAGAUGGAUGAUAAAUGCUGGCCUGGUGAGCAACAUCCUCAUCCUGUGAAUGAAUAAAAGAAAAUAAUUCUAUCAAAAAAUAAAGUGAACAAGGAUAUGGAAAUGACAACUUAUUUAUACUUAUAAAUAAUUUUACUGAUUCUUCCAAACAUCACUCGAAGUUCUGAUAUACCCUGAUGGCCAUGUCAUUGAAGUCGGCAGGUCAGAAAAAGAAACAGAUGUGGAUUUUGGGAUUUCAGUAAAGUAACAUAAACACUAAGGCGAUUUGAAGUAUGAAGUAGGUGUUAAUCCACAGUGGCUGGAGGUACAGUGGUGUGGGACAGCCUGUCCCAUUGUUCCAAUUGCAUAAAUCUCUCCAGAUGAUAUGCAACUUUUUUUGCUUAAAGUGAGUCCAGAUUCUUUCCCUUCCAAUCACGUGCAAAAAAAUCCUGGGUUUGCUGCAGUGUUUUUUGAAAAUAUAACAAGAUUUCACGAACAAUUGCUCCCCUUGAUUAGCGAAGGUGAUCAUCUUCCACAAUUUGGGAAAACCUAAUUUUUUUCCACUUGUAUUAAUUUGAAAACUUUACGGAUUAAAUCCAAGGCUCUCCCCAGUGUGCAACAGUGUGUUUGCAAUAAUCAUUUAUUCAUGCACAUCAAUAAAAUACUUUAAGAGAAAGAAUGUUGCUGUUUAAUAUCUUGAUCUAUUGGCUUGUGUAGCAAUGAUUCUAUGAAAUGAUGCAUUAUGCACAGCAAUGAGAUGAAUAACCAUUCUGAGAUUGUUUUGCUGAAUUUCAUAAUACUUUGUCAGUCUGAGUAAAUAUUUUGCAUGAAAGUUUAUGUGUUUCAUUUAAAUGAUCUAAUCAGUAUCAGA